rnacentral:rRNA from 1 species
ACCUUUGUUGCUUUGGCAGACCCGUCCUUCGGGACCGUCGGGGGCGUUCAGUCGCCUCUGGCCAGCGUCUGCCAGUAGCCCAACCAAAAUUCUUUGUUACAUGUGACGUCUGAACGGUUCCAUCAAAAUCAAACCAAAACUUUCAACAACGGAUCUCUUGGUUCUGGCAUCGAUGAAGAACGCAGCGAAAUGCGAUAAGUAAUGUGAAUUGCAGAAUUCAGUGAAUCAUCGAAUCUUUGAACGCACAUUGCGCCCUUUGGUAUUCCGAAGGGCAUGCCUGUUCGAGCGUCAUUAUCAACCCUCAAGCCCGGCUUGUUAUUGGGUCCAUAUCAACUUUCAUAGAAGAUAGGCCCGAAAGAUAAUGGCGGCGUCAAGAAUGACCCUAGGUGCAGCGAGCAAUCAAGCAUACACUGAGGUGGUCCUCUUGGCCUGGCCCUAUUGUUUUGUUGCAGA